AUUUUAUAUAGUGUUCUUGACCUAAAAUCUCAUUUUAUGUAAUUAUAAUUAGAAAUGAGAAUUUUUUUUUUUAUAGACUGGAUGUAAUAAAUUAUAAAUAAAUUGUUCAUCAUUAUAGUUAAAAGAAUAUUUUAUCGGUUGGAAGCGAAAUGUUGCGCGCGCAAACGCAGAAAGAAGAGGGGGAACCAAUUGAAACGCGCUAUCCCUACUCUCAGAUAGAAGAACCAAUUGCGAUUGACUUUUUGGAACAGCGAUAACUAUAAAAGAAGAAGUUCCAUAAAGGAAGGGAGCAUUCUAAUACAUUCGGAAAUUUCACGCUUGACCAAGUCAAUAUGAAUUACGAGUCUGUUUUCGCGAGCAGCCAACGAGAAGACGAAUGGAAAAGUCUCUCUCUUUCUCUCUCUCUCUCUCUUUAUCCCUGGGAACUUUCACAGGCGUAAUCACGGGAAAGCUACUUUUUCUCCUAGUCCGUUAAAUUAUGUUUUACCCUGGGAUUUAUUAGUCGAAAGCGAGUCACGAACUGCGCACACUUAUUACGUGUAAUCAGUGUCAAAUAAAUAAACGUGGGAAUGAAAGGUACAAAACUCGAGUGCAAGUUGACGUGUGUAGUUUUGAAAAUGGUUCACCAAACUUUUUCUUCUUCUUCUUUUUUUUUCUAUUUCAAAUGAAUAUGAACAUCGGUAAUGAAUGAACUAUAAUUACAAAACUCACUUGAAUAUUUGCCUGAUGGUAAACUUAUCUAUAGAAAACUGUAUAAUUUUAGGAUUAAUUAAACUCGACCACAAUAUUAACUCAAAGCAUA